rnacentral:rRNA from 1 species
GACGGAGGAUGCAAGCGUUAUCCGGAAUCAUUGGGCGUAAAGCGCGUGUAGGCGGCCCGGUAAGUCCGCUGUGAAAGUCGGGGGCUCAACCCUCGAAUGCCGGUGGAUACUGUCGGGCUAGAGUGCGGGAGAGGCGAGUGGAAUUCCUGGUGUAGCGGUGAAAUGCGCAGAUAUCAGGAGGAACACCAAUUGCGAAGGCAGCUCGCUGGAACGUAACUGACGCUGAGACGCGAAAGCGUGGGGAGCAAACAGG